UACGGAGGGUGCGAGCGUUGUUCGGAAUCACUGGGCGUAAAGGGCGUGUAGGCGGUCCACUAAGUCUGAUGUGAAAGCCCGGGGCUCACCCCCGGAAGUGCAUUGGAAACUGGUGGACUCGAGUCCCGGAGAGGAAGGUGGAAUUCCUGGUGUAGCGGUGAAAUGCGUAGAGAUCAGGAGGAAUACCGGUGGCGAAGGCGGCCUUCUGGACGGUGACUGACGAUGAGACGCGAAAGCGUGGGGAGCAAACAGG
rnacentral:rRNA from 1 species